AGUGAACGCUGGCGGUAGGCCUAACACAUGCAAGUCGAACGGCAGCACAGUAAGAGCUUGCUCUUACGGGUGGCGCGUGGCGGACGGGUGCGGAAUACAUCGGAAUCUACUUUUUCGUGGGGGCUAACGUCGGGAAAUUUCCUCUAAUACCGCAUACGACCUCCGGGUAAAAGCCGGGGAUCUUCUGACCUGGCGCGAUGGAAUGAGCCGAUGUCGGAUUAGCUAGUUGGCGGGGAAAAGGCCCACCAAGGCGACGAUCCGUAGCUGGUCCGGGGGGAAGGUCAGCUACCCUGUAAGUGAGACUGGGUCCCGACACCGACGGGGGGCAGCGGUGGGGAAUAUUGGACAAGGGGGGCAAGCCUGAUCCAGCCAUACCGCGUGGGUGAAGAAGGCCUUAGGGUUGUAAAGCCAUUUUGUUGGGAAAGAAAAGCAGCAGGUUAAUACCCCGCGGUUCUGACGGUACCCAAAGAAUAAGCACCGGCUAACUUCGUG
rnacentral:rRNA from 1 species